rnacentral:rRNA from 1 species
UACGGAGGGUGCAAGCGUUGUCCGGAUUUAUUGGGUUUAAAGGGUGCGUAGGCGGUCUUUUAAGUCAGUGGUGAAAGCCAACAGCUCAACUGUUGAACUGCCAUUGAUACUGGAAGACUUGAGUACAGACGAGGUAGGCGGAAUUUAUGGUGUAGCGGUGAAAUGCAUAGAUACCAUAAAGAACACCGAUUGCGAAGGCAGCUUACUAGGCUGUAACUGACGCUGAGGCACGAAAGCGUGGGGAGCAAACAGG